rnacentral:tRNA from 1 species
AUGGGGGUAUCCCCCAUGGGGCGGACUGAGGCUCCGCUGGCGAAGGCCUGCGCGGGUUCAAAUCCCGUCCCCCGCA